rnacentral:lncRNA from 1 species
AUUGUUACGCCCCCAAAUUCGGGUACUUGAAACCCUUAUUCAGUGCUUCACGAUAUCAAACAUUCAACAUAUAAUAAACUUAAAUGUAGUAAAGUUAUUACAUCAAAGUUCUACUGAUCCCAGGUACGUAUACCUUUAAAUGUUUAUUACAUGAUAGUUUAAUAUUUACAAACAUAUAAACUAUCUAUUACAUCAACUCCCAGCUAUUCUGUUAUUUUUCCAUUUCCCUUGUCCUUUCUAGACCCUUCUGCCUGAGUCUGCUCAACU